UUUACUUUCUAAAUUGCAAUAUUUGUUGUCUACUGGUUUCUUGAUCUUCAAUAUGUCUUGUUAACUUUUCCAUUGACAUUAAUUACUAGUAAAUUGAAAAGUAUUUUGUUCGACGUGCCGCGAGAAUAAAUCUAUUGCUAAGAAUAUUGCAAAAACUAUUAAUAAUGCAGGUUUUGCUAACAUAAUUAACGAAAAGGACCUGUACCAUCAAAAAGCUUGCUGACAUCGAUAAUUUAGUGGUGGAAAGACAUCUGCUCGGUGAUUCAUAACAUACUGGAAUAUUGAAGAUUUCACAGGGAGGAUAUCCAAGUACAGCAAUUGUUUGGUUCAAACAUGAAAAACUCUUAUUUGCAGGAGAGAAAAGAAAGAUACAAAAAGUGCUCCUUGGCUGUGAUGUGAUCACCUGCAUUCGACAUCCUCGAGUGUGAUUGAAGUCAUUGAUCAAGAGACUGUUGAACAUCAAAGAAGGCAGUUUCUAGGUUGCAAAUGUGUCAAUACUGUUGAGUGAGUUCUUAGAGUGUAGAAUGAUAUCAAUUGUUGGAACAUAAGUGUGGGUAAGACUACCUUGCCAAGAGAAUUUAUAGGAAUCUACCAACUAGAUUUGAUUGUUUUGCCUUAGUAGUCUUUCUCUUGUGAGCCACGAGUAAGGAAGCCUUUUUCUAGAAGUAGCAAAUGUGUAAGCCUGAGGAACAAUCGGAAAAAUUAUGCCGAACAAUCAAACCUAUUUCUUACACUCCUACAAAUACUCUUAGCAAGAGUAGUCUUACCCAUACUUCUAGUCCCAACAAAUGAUGUCAUCUUAUGCUGUGAGUUUUCCCCCAACAGUUCUACCUCUUGUUGCUAAGUUUUCUUCUAAGGUACUGCCUGCUUUGACAUUCAAUGGUAGUAAACUGUAAUUGCCCUAUAUACAGAGUUUAUUUUGCUGAUGUUAUCUUUUCUUUUUUGUCAAUGGAAACUUAUUUGAAUGUGUUUAGCAUUCUCCCUUUCAAAACAAUAACUUAUCGUUAUCGGGUGUCUUGUAAUUUGUAAUUACUCAUAUAUGUGUGAAGAUUUUUUUUUUUUUUUUCUUUUUUAUGUCUUCCAUUUUAAAGCAUAAGAGAUGGGAAAGUGACAUUGAAAUCUUCUCAUAUGCUCUUAUUACUAAUUGUCAACAAGUGUUUUUUCUAUUAGUUUAUCAUAAAUCGAAACGUGUUUGUAUUUUCGCUCAGAUACUCACAUUACUCAUAUGCUGCUUGUACCCAUUUGUCAGUC
rnacentral:lncRNA from 1 species